GUGCGGUGGAUGCUCAUCCCGGGAUGCGGCGGGACCGUCGCUCGGAGCGCUGCGCGGAGCCACGGACCGGGGGCUGCUCCCGGCGCUGCGCGGAGCUCGAGGCGCUGAGUGCAUAAGAUAUCCUGAGUGUGAAGGGACACAGAAGGAGCACCGAGUUGAACCCUUAUGUGAAUGGCUCAUCUGGGGAUGGAACCCACAACCUGGGCAUCUUCAGCACCCUGCUCCAACCGAGCCAAUCUCAAGUUACAGCAAUGUCCUGCCUGGGAUGGGAAUGCCAAGUACCAGCGAGGGAAUUCCUGUGCCAGUGCAGCUCCUUCCUUUAUGCCGAUAUUGCUUCACACCCCAGCCCCUGGAAUGGCCAUAGGGCAGAGCUCCGUGGCUGGUACCUGACCAUGGAACAACACAGGGAGAAAUGAUCAAGACAAGCCCUGAGGGUUCCCUUGGUCCGUGGCCGAAGUUCUUCUGGAGAGUGCCAGGGCCGGUUCCGCCUGCAGAGGGGCGUUUCCUGCGGGUGAGUGUUCACAGCCCAAAAUCGCGGUGGGGGCCGAGGCCGGGGCUGCUUCUCGGCCCCGG